GGGAAAGUUAUGCUGUUGAAAAGCUGGGCCUGAGACUUCUGGGGAAAUCGAUUGCAGGGCAAAUCCUUUCCUAAACAUGAGAAGUGGGGUCUACUACAAACGGGCAGUGGUGGAAGUAUGGAUGAACAAGUCAGUGGAGACUGUGAUGAUGAGGAUGGUUGUGGAGGAUCAGGAAGUGGGGAAGUGAAGAGAAUCCUGCAAUUUAUUGACUGUCUGAAGUACAAGAACAUUCUUUCUCAUGGGAGUCUGUUGCUUCAGUUGAUUUUGGGCCUGGUUGACACUCAGAAAUGUGAAGCUGUUGUGUAUUAAGCAUUGAUCCAUUGAUACUGACGUGGAUUCAUACCCUGUAAUCUGAGAGGAUAGAGAAAGUAAUAGGAUAAGAAGGUGGAGAGAGGCAAACUCAGAAAAAAUAUUUUGGAGGCCAAAGGGAUGAAAGAGGAUUUGUUUUUUUGUUUUUGUUUGGUUUUGGGGGGAGGGAUACUGACCAAUUUCAAAAACAUAUUUAACAUUGCAAAAAAAAUUGACGGAAAACAUUGAAAAAGAGGAAGAAAAACAAUACUGCAAUCUGUACACCAUAAUGGAAGAAAGUUAGUGAAGGAAAAGAGAAACAAGUUGAAAAACACCCUAACACACACACCCAAUUCUGCUGUACAGUCUUGUAAUGGUCAUUUUAAGCUUCUGUGUGCAUCUACUGGGAAAUACAUAACUGUGUGAUGGAGCACCGGGUUUGUGGUGUCCUUGAGCCUCAUUGAUUCUUAAUCAACACCUUAUUUAUAGGUGUGCAAAAAUGGGGAUGGAGGGAAAAUCUAAUUUACUUUAUACAGAGAAUCAUGUUGGUUUGUAUUUCAUCUGCACCAAUGUGCCCAACACUACAUAGUAUGGUAAGUAAGAAUAACAACAGUUUUUAUAA